rnacentral:lncRNA from 1 species
CUACCUAUCAUUUCUCAGUCAUUUUAGAAUGACGAAGUCUGUAGUCAACUACCACGGUCUGUUGGGGUUGCUACAGACUUUUGAGAAGAAUCAUUAGCUCCAUAAGGAGACAGUAAAUUUAGUGAGAGGAUCUUCUUCGGAUGGGCGUUGUCCCUUUAAGAAAGAAUAAAAAAAAUAAAAAGGUACAAAGUGCUGGGAGUCAGACCUGAAAGUCCAAGUACAAGGCCGAUCAGAGUCAAACAGAGUACUUCUUUUAUAAGAAGUAGGAACUUUGAAAGAAGAAUUAUCCUUAGUAUAAAGCUUCUCUUGGCCAGAAUACGCCAAAGAAGAAGCAGCAAUCGAUUGCUGCACA